ensembl:snRNA
AUGUUGUUAUGAAAGGAGAGAAGAUUAGCAUUCCCCUUGACAAAGAUGGAAGAGGCCCUCAGGCCUGAAAAUGUGAUAGUUGAGGCAUUACCACCUAUUUCAUGGAAUUUAACCAUAUCUAUUC